rnacentral:lncRNA from 1 species
AUGGCUAAAUGCACCAAGAAGAUAGGGCUUGUCAGAAAUACGGGACCUGCUAUGGUGCCUCCCUCCGGAAAAUGGUGAAGAAAAUUGAAAUCAGCCAGCACUCCAAGUAAACUUGCUCCUUCUGGGAUAAGACCAAGAUGAAGAGAUGAGCUUUUGGCAUCUGGCAUUGAGGUUCCUGCAUGAAAACAGUGGCCAGCGGGUGCCUGGAUCUACAACACCACCUCUGCAGUCACAGUGAAGUCUGCCAUCAGAAAACCGAAGUAACUGAAAGACCAUAGAAGCCCUAACGUCUGA